rnacentral:tRNA from 1 species
GGGCCUGUAGCUCAGUGGUAGAGCGGUCGGCUCAUAACCGAUUGGUCGUAGGUUCGAACCCUGCCGGGCCCACCA